rnacentral:rRNA from 1 species
AUGAACGCUGGCGGCGUGCCUAAUACAUGCAAGUCGAGCGAACGGACGAGAAGCUUGCUUCUCUGAUGUUAGCGGCGGACGGGUGAGUAACACGUGGAAAACCUACCUAUAAGACUGGGAUAACUUCGGGAAACCGGAGCUAAUACCGGAUGAUAUUUUGAACCGCAUGGUUCAAAAGUGAAAGACGGUCUUGCUGUCACUUAUAGAUGGAUCCGCGCUGCAUUAGCUAGUUGGUAAGGUAACGGCUUACCAAGGCAACGAUGCAUAGCCGACCUGAGAGGGUGAUCGGCCACACUGGAACUGAGACACGGUCCAGACUCCUACGGGAGGCAGCAGUAGGGAAUCUUCCGCAAUGGGCGAAAGCCUGACGGAGCAACGCCGCGUGAGUGAUGAAGGUCUUCGGAUCGUAAAACUCUGUUAUUAGGGAAGAACAUAUGUGUAAGUAACUGUGCACAUCUUGACGGUACCUAAUCAGAAAGCCACGGCUAACUACGUG